AGAGUUUGAUCAUGGCUCAGAAUCAACGCUGGCGGCGCGCUUAACACAUGCAAGUCGAACGAGAAAGUGGAGCAAUCCAUGAGUACAGUGGCGUACGGGUGAGUAACACGUGGAUCAUCUACCCUCUAGUGGGGAAUACCGUUGGGAAACCGACGACAAUACCGCAUAAGCUCGAGAGAGGAAAGCCGAAAGGCGCUGGAGGAGGAGUCCGCGGUCGAUUAGUUAGUUGGCAGGGUAAAAGCCUACCAAGACUGUGAUCGAUAGCCGGCCUGAGAGGGCACACGGCCACACUGGCACUGAAACACGGGCCAGACUCCUACGGGAGGCAGCAGUGGGGAAUCUUGCACAAUGGGGGCAACCCUGAUGCAGCGACGCCGCGUGAGUGAUGAAGCCCUUCGGGGCGUAAAGCUCUUUCGGCAGGGACGAUUAUGACGGUACCUGCAGAAGCAGCUGCGGCUAACUACGUGCCAGCAGCCGCGGUAAUACGUAGGCAGCAAGCGUUGUUCGGAGUUACUGGGCGUAAAGGGUGCGUAGGCGGCUUUUUAAGUUUGGUGUGAAAUCUCCUGGCUUAACCGGGAGGGUGCGCCGAAUACUGAGAAGCUAGAGUAUGGGAGAGGAAAGUGGAAUUCCUGGUGUAGCGGUGAAAUGCGUAGAUAUCAGGAGGAACACCUGUGGUGUAGACGGCUUUCUGGACCAUAACUGACGCUGAGGCACGAAAGCGUGGGUAGCAAACAGGAUUAGAUACCCUAGUAGUCC
rnacentral:rRNA from 1 species